GAUGAACGCUGGCGGCGUGCCUAACACAUGCCAGUCGAACGGACGGGCGCUGCUCUUGCGGGUUGCUCGUUUGCCGAGCGGGGGAGUAUCACGUGAGUAACCUGUCCCUGUCUGAGGGGUAUCUCCAGGAGACAGGGGCUCUUACCGGGGAGGAGCUCCUGCUCCGUGUUGGGGGAUGGAAAGAUUCGGCGUUUCGGUAUGUACUCGCUGCUUCCGAGCUGCAUUAGGUAGUUGUUACGGUCACGGCUUAUCAAGGGAACGAUGCAUAGCCGACCGGAGAGGGUGAUCGGCCACACUGGAACUGAGACACGGUCCAGACUCCUACGGGAGGCAGCAGGAGGGAAUCUUCCGCAAUGGGCGAAAGCCUGACGGAGCAACGCCGCGUGAGUGAUGAAGGUCUUCGGAUCGUAAAACUCUGUUAUUAGGGAAGAACAUAUGUGUAAGUAACUGUGCACAUCUUGACGGUACCUAAUCAGAAAGCCACGGCUAACUACGU
rnacentral:rRNA from 1 species